GAUGAAGAACGCAGCGAAAUGCGAUAAGUAGUGUGAAUUGCAGAAUUCAGUGAAUCAUCGAAUCUUUGAACGCACAUUGCGCCCCUUGGUAUUCCAUGGGGCAUGCCUGUUCGAGCGUCAUUUGUACCUUCAAGCUCUGCUUGGUGUUGGGUGUUUGUCUCGCCUCUGCGCGUAGACUCGCCUCAAAACAAUUGGCAGCCGGCGUAUUGUUUUCGGAGCGCAGUACAUCUCGCGCUUUGCACUCAUAACGACGACGUCCAAAAGUACAUUUUUACACUCUUGACCUCGGAUCAGGUAGGGAUACCCGCUGAACUUAAGCAUAUCAAUAAGCGGAGGA
rnacentral:misc_RNA from 1 species